rnacentral:rRNA from 1 species
CAAUAGCGUAUAUUAUUGAUGUUGCAGUUGAAACGUUCGUAGUCGAAUUUUACUCGCCCCACUAGCUGUGUCGUCGCAGACGGUUUCGGUUACGUGAGCGGGGAGAGUGCUAUGUUGUGAUGUUUCAUCGCUUCCUCUUGCACCUUACUUUGAGUGAAUCGGCGUGUUCCACGCAGGCGUAUGCCUUGAACGAUUUACCAUAGCAUAACCAUAGUACGAUGAUGUUUCCUUGUUAGUUCGGAAACGUUUUCGAUACAGAAAAGAACGGUUGAGGGCAUUCGUAUUCAACUGCUAGAGGUGAAAUUCUUUGAUUAGUUGAGGACGAACCAUUGCGAAAGCAUCUGCCAAGGACGUUUCUUUUGA